CUUUUCUUUUUAGAGAAAACCACAGAAGGAAAUGCUCUUCUCUUCCUUAGGAUUUUGUCCUGCCUUGAGGUGAGACCUAGAACACAGCACCGAUCUCAUUAAAGGGCAGAAAGAAGAGAACCAUGGGACGUGGAGAGGAAGUCUGACCUGCCCCGAGACUUACAGUUAGACUCCUUGCUGGUCAUGUUGUUUCAAUAUUCCUGACCAACCAUACCUUUCUCUUACAUUCAAUGGGUCUCCCAAGACUGCCUUCGAAGCCCCAAGGUUACCUUGGUCACAAGAGGGAAGUGAUCCUGUUCCUUUUGAGGUCCUACAGACAGCCCGUCUCCUCCGUUCUGUGAUCCAGCUUGGCAUAAGAUGGACGAGCUUUGGAUGGGUGUGUGGUGUAAGACCUGGAAUGGCCCCUACCCGAGGCAGCUGAGCCAUCAGACGACCUGGAGGAAAGAGCCAGUUGAGCCAGUCCCCCUUCUCCAACACUGAGCCAAGCAUGCAGAACAACAGCUCAAAGCUUCUCUGCUCAGAAGCUGCCAGGCUCCUUCUUUCACUCCUCAGAUACCUUGGAAAACAUCUUGGGACAGGAAUUAAAAGAUCUGGUCGUCAGAUUAUUCUGACGAUAGGAAUGCCUAAGACCAGUGACUUCCGGAUUUUAAUCAUCUGAGACUUCUAUAAAUCAGUGACUUUUAUAAAUGCACCAUUCCCAGAAAUUCCAAUUCAGCAAGUGUAGAUUGCGCCUAGGAAUCAGAAUGUUUAGCACAUGACCCCAGGAAAUCAAAAGUUUGUGGUCUUUGGAGCCAUUGCAAUAAAU